rnacentral:sRNA from 1 species
CGAGCGGGAGCCGCGCGGGAGCAGCGCAGCUACGGCGGCGGCAGCGGCGGCGCGGUUGCGAUUCCGAGCCGUUGAGACGCCUCUGCGGCAGCUGGUGGCGCAGGUGGCUUGCGUGGACGCGGGUAGAGGCGACCGGCCAGCAACCGCAGCGUCGGCGCCCGCGGCCCCGGCAGCAGGCGCGUCGGGACGCCCCGAGGCAUCCUCCCCCGCCCGCGGGCCCGACAGCUGGGCCCGCGUCCGCCGCCCGCAUCCCCGCGCCGCCGCAUCUCCUCGCCGCCUCUCGGGCUUCGGACCCCCGGUCUCGCCCCCGAAACAUGACUCGCGAUUUCAAACCUGGAGACCUCAUCUUCGCCAAGAUGAAAGGUUAUCCCCAUUGGCCAGCUCGAGUAGACGAAGUUCCUGAUGGAGCUGUAAAGCCACCCACAAACAAACUACCCAUUUUCUUUUUUGGAACUCAUGAGACGUAAGUCUUUUUAGCUUUAAAGGCAAAUCAGAGCUAAUUUAACAGGGUUAUUGGGCAGUAGACAUUAAUUCAAGGGGGAAAUCGUAACAUAAUAGGAAACUUUAAAAUCUUUGAACUUUGGAAAGAGUCUUUAAGUCUCUGUUUUUAAGGUAGCGUUUACAGAUGCUAUAGGUUUAUUUUUUACUGGAAUUGAUAUUUCCUUAACCAAAAAAGAAAGUAGAAAUUCUCUCAGCAAUAAGAAUGAUUGAUGGAUGAAAAUAUAUGAGGAAAGUUUUAAUAAGUGAUCUGAUAUUCCUAUGCAGUAAAAUAAGUGCUUUUUAUAAGGACUACUUGGUACCUAAUUUUUGGUUUUAUGAUAUCAGAUAUACAAACUGUGUAUAUUGUGGGGAAGGUGAGAAGAGGAAGUCUAGCUAGUUCCCUCCAUGUGUUUAUAUGGUGCCUGAAGCUCUGCUGCCUCUGGUGGGUAUGUGGGCAGAGAACUGAUGUGAAGCAAAUUUUUCAAAAAUUCCUCUGAAUGUUGACAUAUGUUACUGCCAAGUGCAUGGGAUCACUCCAGAGACUACCAUUAAUUUCCCAAAGAAUAUUCCUACGUACCUAUAAUUUAAUGGCCUUACAAAUACUAUAUAAUCUGGUUGAUUUUGGACUUGAAGUUUGGAGUCUGUCAUAAUUUUGGUAGUCUUGUUUACCUGGGAUGAGGAGAAACAAAACUAUUGCUAUUCUGAUGAGAAUUAUAUAUUCCUAAGAGUGGCUACAAUGGCAAUAUUUCGUUUAAAGUUGCUUAGCUACUGUAUAAACUUUCACACAAUGUCUUUAAUAGCUUUAUUGAGAUGGAAUUUACAUACAAAGAAGUUCACCUGCUUGAAGUGUAUAGGUCAAUAGAUUUUAGUAUAUUUACUAUCAUAACCUUUUGAUGAUCACUUUCCCCUCUCCAACCCUAAACAACUACUGGUCUACUGUCUGUAUAGACUUACCGGUUCUGGACAUUUUAUUUGAAUGGUGUUAUACAAUAUUUCAUAAUAAGUUUUUAAAAAAAUCCAACUUUGGAUCCAGAAUUGGUUUGGCCUUCAUCAUAAUUAGAGUUAGGUUCAAGUGUAUUCUAUAUAUAACAAUAUAAUUUUUAAGAAGUGAUAAAUUUCUGAUUCCAUGGGAUACUGUAAAGAAACUCUUCAGUAAAUUUAAUAGAGGACAAAAGUGUCUUUUAAUGGAAAAUGAUGCAAUGUAUAUUAGAGUAGGGCUUUUCAAAGUGUGUUGUCAGGUCUAGCACCAUUAGCAUCUCGUGGGAACUUUAGUUAAAAUGUAAGUUCUUGGCUGGGUGUGGUGGCUCAUACCUCUAAUCCCAACACUUUGGGAGGCCAGGGCGGGAGGAUCACUUGAGUUCAGGAGUUGGAGACCAGCCUGCAACAUGGUGAAACUGUGUCUCUACAAAAAUACAAAAAUUAGCCAUUUGUGGUGGCACACACGUGUGGUCCCAGCUACUCCAGAGGCUGAGGUGGAACCAUCACCUGAGCCGGGGAGGCAAAGGUUGCAGUGAGCCAAGAUCUCACCACUGCAGACCUCAUUUCAAAAAAAAAACAAAAACGAAAAAAGGCAA